AAUGGGCACCCUGGAUACUUAGAAAGUCAUGGAGACAUCUUUUCCCUAUUCUGCCUUGAAUGUGUAUUUUUGCUUUAAUAGAAUUGUAAAUCUCACUCUGAAGGAAACAUCUGAAAAAGACCCCCUCUGUCACUGGAUGGUAUUUAUUACUUUUGUACCUGAACAAUGACAAAGCUGUGACCUUCAAGAAUUGCGUGAUUAACCAUGUUUCUCUGACUGUUCUGGAUGAGACUCCAGAUUUUCUGAAGAAAGCAUGAGCCAGGAGAAUAAACUGUUUAUCCUCACAGGACUCCAAAGGCCUGCAUUUUCUGUGAAACUAUGGUGCCAAAUCAUCUGAUCCAGGAGUAUUGUCAGAGAACGAUACAGAAGGGACAGAAAACCUGCAUCAUUUGUGCUGUACACAGCUGACCUUGGAGGAAAGGAUGGUACAGCACCCACAUCCAUCAGGGCCACUACAGAGAAAAAGGAAAAGUUUUUUUCUCAACCCAUCUUGGAUGGAGCUUGAAGGAAUCAUGUUAAGUGAGAUAAGUCAGAAACAGAAGGAUGAAUAUGAGAUGAUCUCAUAGGCAGAAGUUGAAAAAUAUGAUCAGAAGAGAAAAUAUUAAGCAGAACUUGGAG